rnacentral:rRNA from 1 species
UCCGUAGGCGGGCUAAUAAGUCAGGGGUGAAAUCCAACAGCUUAACUGUUGAACUGCCUUUGAUACUGUUAGUCUUGAAUUAUAUGGAAGUAGAUAGAAUGUGUAGUGUAGCGGUGAAAUGCUUAGAGAUUACACAGAAUACCGAUUGCGAAGGCAGUCUAUUACGUAUAUAUUGACGCUAAUGGACGAAAGCGUGGGGAGCGAACAGGAUUAGAUACCCUGGUAGUCC